rnacentral:misc_RNA from 1 species
GAUGAAGAACGUAGCGAAAUGCGAUAAGUAAUGUGAAUUGCAGAAUUCAGUGAAUCAUCGAAUCUUUGAACGCACCUUGCGCCCUUUGGACAUUCCGAAGGGCAUGCCUGUUUGAGUAUCAUGAACACCUCAACUCUCACGGCUUGUCCGUGAUGAGCUUGGACUUUGGGGGUCUUGCCGGCCUGUGGUCGGCUCCUCUCAAAUGGAUCAGCUUGCCAGUGUUUGGUGGCAUCACAGGUGUGAUAACUAUCUGCGCUUGUGGUUUUCCAUCAGAUAACCUUCAGUGAUAUGGAGGUUCGCUGGAGCUCACAAAUGUCUCUCCUUAGUGAGGACAGCUCUUUGAACGUUUGAUCUCAAUCAGGUAGGACUACCCGCUGAACUUAAGCAUAUCAAUAAGCGGAGGA